UGGGGAAUCUUGGACAAUGGGCGAAAGCCUGAUCCAGCCAUGCCGCGUGAGUGACGAAGGUCUUAGGGUUGUAAAGCUCUUUUGGCGGGGAAGAUAAUGACGGUACCCGCAGAAUAAGCUCCGGCUAACUUCGUGCCAGCAGCCGCGGUAAUACGAAGGGAGCUAGCGUUGUUCGGAAUCACUGGGCGUAAAGCGCACGUAGGUGGAUAGUUAAGUGAGGGGUGAAAGCCCGAGGCUCAACCUCGGAAUUGCCUCUCAUACUGGCUGUCUCGAGUCCGAGAGAGGUGGGUGGAAUUCCUAGUGUAGAGGUGAAAUUCGUAGAUAUUAGGAAGAACACCAGUGGCGAAGGCGGCUCACUGGUCCGGUACUGACGCUGAGGUGCGAAAGCGUGGGGAGCAAACAGGAUUAGAUACCCUAGUAGUCCCUGAGCGGGCUGGCAAGGCGCAU
rnacentral:rRNA from 1 species